rnacentral:lncRNA from 1 species
AAAUGUGGACACUCCCAUCCUUUCUCCCUCAUGCUGUCUCUCACUGCCCUACCUGGCUGUGCUUAUGAUGUCACUGUGUACCAGACACCUUCUUCCUACUUCUGCAUGAAUGGGAAGCUCCUGUCCGUCUUACCACGGCAUCUCCUUCUCACAUUUUGCAGCACCGAUCAUGCCCCACUGACUCAAGCAUUCCUGGGUCUUGCUCCUUCAUUAGAUGGUGAGCACUCUCAGGGCUGUGUGUCAAGACCUGACGGUUCUAGCCCACGGUCUUCACAUUGCGGACUCUCUGCUGCUCGCUGUUGCCACCGUGAAUUCUGCUACGCUUUUCUGCUGUGAUGGACUGAAGCUGCCCUGACAGUGAUCACAAUAAAUCUCUCCUCUCUCAAGUUAUUUCUGCCAGAUGAACGUGGAAAGGAACACUUUUGAUAAGCAACAAGACACAGAUAGCCUAUCAGAUGUGGGAAUGAAGUGCGGAAAACCCAAAAUCAUUUAGCAAAUGGAUUGAAGCUAGCCAGAAUUUCACCAGUCCAGGGAGAGCACAAAGGGGUAUGUGUCUUACUGGGACUUCAGUGAAGCCAUUUAACACUAGGAAUGUUCCCAGGCGUGCAUUUCGAUUUCAGUGACAGUAACCUGUCUUACAGCAUUUAGGGCUUGCCAUUUUGAAAACUUAAUACUGUUCAGUGUUUGCUGAAAGUGUCCAUUUGUUCUUGAGAGGGUGUAUAUAGGACGACCAUGUAAGUUAUUCUCUGCCCCGGACUAUCUUUGAAGUAAAAGGGAGAGCAGUUAACAGCUGCACCAGGAUGACAGGGAUAAAGCCGGAAGAAGUGAUCGUCACGGAAAUUUGGGUUCAUGGGAUGGAGUCACAGGGAUGCUUAUUUUAUGUGCUACUCUGAUUAUUUAUGUAGCUUUAACAGACAGAUAAUUAAGCUGUUUCAG